CGCGACCCCUCGCGUGGCGUCACCCUGUGAACCUCCCCAGGGCCGGAAGGCAGCAAGGAUAAGCGGGCUCUGGCGGGUGCGCGGGGGGUCCUCUGC
rnacentral:SRP_RNA from 1 species